AAUCCAUGAUGAGGGCACAUGCGUAGAAGAUCCUUAAACCGUUCAUGUGCCUCAAACAAUGUCUCGGUGUCCCCUUGCCUGAAGGAUGAAAUCUCCUGUCUCAGUCU